rnacentral:rRNA from 1 species
GACGAACGCUGGCGGCGUGCUUAACACAUGCAAGUCGAACGGAAAGGCCUUGUAUUUGUGGGGUGCUCGAGUGGCGAACGGGGGAGUAUCACGUGAGUAACCUCCCCUUGACUUUGGGAGAACUUCAGGAAACUGGGGUUAAUACCGGAUAUGAACUCCUGCUACAUGGGGUGGAUUUGAAAGAGUCGGCGGUUCGGGAUGGACUCGUGGCUUAGCAGCUUGUUGGUGGGGUAGUGGCUUACCAGGGCUUUGACGGGUAGCCGGCCUGAGAGGGUGACAGGCCACAUUGGGACUGAGGUACGGGCCAUACUGCUACGGGAGGCAGCAGUGGGGAACAUUGCGCGAUGGGCGGAAGCAGGAUGGAGCGACGCCGCGUGCGGGAUGACGGCCUUCGGGUUAUAACCCGCUUUAGAGUGUAAAGAAGAGUAAGUGACGGUAACGGGUAAAGAAGCAACGGCUAACUACGUG